GCCCUGAGAGCAUCAUCCAACAACCAAUCCCUCCUCUAGAGAAUCUCCUGAGAGCUCAGCUUCUCACCAUGGACUGGGCCGGGAGGAUCGUUUUUCUGGUGGCAGCAACUACAGGUGCCCACUCGCAGGUGCAGCUGGUGCAGUCUGAGGCUAAGGUGAGGAAGCCUGGGCCUCAGUGAAGGUCUCCUGUAAUUUUUCUGGGUUCAUCAUCACAAGCUACAGUACACACUGGGCACAACAGGCCCCUGGACAAGGGCUUAAGUGGAUGGGAUGGAACAACCCUAGCAAUGGUAACAGAGUCUACACGCAGAAGUUUAAGGGCAGACUCACUAUGACCAGGGACAGGUCCAAGAGCACAGCCUACACGGAGUUGAGCAGCCUGAGAUCUGAGGACACGGCCGUGUAUUACUCUGCACGACACACAGUGUGGAAACCCACAGCCUGA